UUCUUCUUAACUUUUAAAAAUUUAUAUUUUAUCAUUUUAAAAUUUCAAGUUGUUGCAUUUAGCCUCCUUCCAUUAUGGUUCCAUCACUAUUUCGUCUAUUAAUUUUUUAUAAUUUAUAUCAAAAAUACCUUUUAAAAUGACAAAAAUAUAUUAAAAAAUUAUUUUUUCUUAUAGAAGAAGAGUAAUUUGGUCAUUUUGCUCUUUCUAUUGGUGCAGUACUCUCCUGAAAAUAUUUUUGAAAUUUUAAAGGGGCAAAAUGUAGAAUUUCGAAAGUCAGUAAGAAAAAAUAAAAAAAUAAGUAUUUACAGGAGGGCUUUCCGUAAUUUAGCCUUUUUUAUUUUUGUUUAAUGUAUUGUUUAA
rnacentral:lncRNA from 1 species